CCUACGGGAUGCACCAGUGGGGAAUAUUGGACAAUGGGCGAAAGCCUGAUCCAGCAAUGCCGCGUGUGUGAAGAAGGUCUUCGGAUUGUAAAGCACUUUCGACGGGGACGAUGAUGACGGUACCCGUAGAAGAAGCCCCGGCUAACUUCGUGCCAGCAGCCGCGGUAAUACGAAGGGGUCUAGCGUGGCUCGGAAUGACUGGGCGUAAAGGGCGCGUAGGCGGUUUAUGCAGUCAGAUGUGAAAUCCCCGGGCUUAACCUGGGAACUGCAUUUGAGACGCAUAGACUAGAGGUCGAGAGUGGGUUGUGGAAUUCCCAGUGUAGAGGUGAAAUUCGUAGAUAUUGGGAAGAACACCGGUGGCGAAGGCGGCACCCUGGCUCGAUACUGACGCUGAGGCGCGAAAGCGUGGGGAGCAAACAGGAUUAGAUACCCUGGUAGUC
rnacentral:rRNA from 1 species